CCUACGGGAGGCAGCAGUAGGGAAUAUUGCUCAAUGGGGGAAACCCUGAAGCAGCAACGCCGCGUGGAGGAUGAAGGUUUUCGGAUUGUAAACUCCUUUUGUUAGAGAAGAGAAUGACGGUAUCUAACGAAUAAGCACCGGCUAACUCCGUGCCAGCAGCCGCGGUAAUACGGAGGGGGCAAGCGUUACCCGGAAUCACUGGGCGUAAAGAGCGCGUAGGCGGGAUAGCAAGUCAGAUGUGAAAUCCUAUGGCUAAACCAUGGAACGGCUUUGAAAACUGUUAUUCUGGGGUAUGGGGGGGUAAGGUGAAUUUCUUGUGGAGGGGGUAAAGUC
rnacentral:rRNA from 1 species